GUGCAACUGACGCUGAAGCUCGAAAGUGCGGGUAUCGAACAGGAUUAGAUACCCUGGUAGUCCGCACGGUAAACGAUGGAUGCCCGCUAUUCGCUCGAAUGAGUGAGUGGCCAAGCGAAAGCAUUAAGCAUCCCACCUGGGGAGUACGCCGGCAACGGUGAAACUCAAAGGAAUUGACGGGGGCCCGCACAAGCGGAGGAACAUGUGGUUUAAUUCGAUGAUACGCGAGGAACCUUACCCGGGCUUGAAUUGCAGGAGAACGAUACAGAGAUGUUGAGGUCCUUCGGGACUCCUGUGAAGGUGCUGCAUGGUUGUCGUCAGCUCGUGCCGUGAGGUGUCGGCUUAAGUGCCAUAACGAGCGCAACCCCUGUUCUUAGUUGCCAUCAGGUAAUGCUGGGCACUCUGGAAUACUGCCACCGUAAGGUGUGAGGAAGGUGGGGAUGACGUCAAAUCAGCACGGCCCUUACGUCCGGGGCUACACACGUGUUACAAUGGCCGGUACAGAGAGUUGGUCGUGCGCAAGUACGGUCUAAUCCAUAAAACCGGUCUCAGUUCGGACUGGGGUCUGCAACCCGACCCCACGAAGCUGGAUUCGCUAGUA
rnacentral:rRNA from 1 species